rnacentral:lncRNA from 1 species
GGAAAACUAGUUUAAUGCAUAGGUUCACUGAAGAAUGGCUAGCCAUGUAGGAAUAUGAUUAGACAAAAAGAGUGUGAUCUAAUGGUAAUAACAGAGGUUGGGGCAGGGGAGGGAAAUCCAGAAAGGCCUGUCUGUUCAGAUUUUUCUUGGCCUGUGUAGCAUUUUUUCCUCCUGGGGAUGGGGCAGGACCCCUCUGAAAUGAGGGUCUCCAAGGAAGAAGGGAGAAGGAAAAGGGAGUGGCCUUUCUAGGUUUUAUGGCUUGCUUUGGGGGAAAGGGAUUCUAGUUUCUAUGACCCACCUUGGGGAAGAGGAAUUCUGGUUUCUGUGAAUCACCUCAGAGGAGAAAGACUGGUGGAAAACCGAAGGAUGGGAGAGGUCAGAGAGCCCCGCCUUCUGAGACCUUCCAGUCUCCUUCAGUUUAAAUUACUCAGCAUGUCAAAGUGUUCAGAGCCCAACACCAGGUUAUUGGGCCUUAUGUUCCAAGUAGAGAACUGCAUGGUGUAGACAAGAGGUGGUAUUGAAGGACUGGGUGGCAGAGCAGGGACAAGGUCAAUGGCAUUUCGGAGUUACUCAUCUGGUACCAGUGUGGAGCCUGGAUUCCAGAAGGAGUGAAAAAAGGAACCAGGGUGAAAAGAAAUUGAGGAAGUAGAAUGUGCCGACUUGCCACACCUGCUGUGCACAGUAAGGAAGAGGGAAGAAGACGGUUCCCGCACUUCUGGCCUGACACACCAGCCAACAGUUGUAUCAAUCAGGACUCUUUCUAAUGCAAGUCACAGAGUAUUAAGCAAUAAGGAAGUUUCUUGGCUUAUGUAGCUGAAAAAUCCUAAGUGCAGCCAAUUUUGAUAUGCUUGGUCACAACGAAAGCUUUAACAACAACAACAACAUAAUUUAUAGGUCAUAUUCUCAAAUCAAAAACUGAAAAAUUUCACAUACAUGAUAAAAAUGACCUAAAAAACUUUAUGUAUUUAGAAAUUAAAGAGCAAACUCUUAGAUAAGUCUUGGAUCAAAAAGGAAGUAAAAGAGGACUCGCAAAGUAUCUAGAAACCAAUGAAAAGGAAAUUACUUUCUAUUGCACCAGACAGGACCCUGAGAAUGGUACUCAGAGAAUAUUUGGAGUUCUCAAAUGCCUUGCAACUGAAAAAUAAAGCCAAAAAAUAAAGGAACUAACUAUUCCUCUCAAAAAUUUAGAAAGAGGCUGGGCGCAGUGGCUCAUGCCUGUAAUCCCAGCACUUUGGGAGUCCGAGUCGGACAGAUCAUAAGGUCAGGAGAUCGAGACCAUCCUGGCUAACACGGUGAAACCCCGUAUCUACUAAAAAAAAUACAAAAAAAAAAAAAAUUAGCUGGGCAUGGUGGCGGGUGCCUGUAGUCCCAGCUACUCAGGAGGCUAAGGCAGGAGAAUGGCGUGAACCCAGUAGGUGGAGCUUGUAGUGAGCCAAGAUCGUGCCACUGCACUCCAACCUGGGUGACAGAGUGAGACUCUGUCUCAAAAAAAAAAAAAAAAAAAAUUUAGAAACAGAAAUCAGGAAAUUGACAUUGACAAAAGUCAAAUUUAGAAUUAAUGAUUUAGAAAAAAGAAAGAAUAAAGAACAGUAGGAGGGAAAAUAUGUGAAAUCUACUGAAAAUAACUCCAAAUGUUUAUUGGAUAGACUAAUAAAAUAAACAGCUUACAAGUUUGAAGAGGGAAAAAAGAAAAAAAGAGAUUAGGAAGCUGAAGUCGAUUAAAAGAUUCAAGAGAGUCACCACAGCCAAUGCUAUGACAGUGAAUAUGAAAAGCUAUAGGAAACGUAUGAUUUUUUUUUGCAAAAUACAGACUAUUUAAAUUCAUCCAAGAAGAGAGGAAAAAUGUGAAUGGACAAAUUAUUACAUGAAUGGACCAAUUAUUACAGAAGUAAUGGUAAAGUGCUUGGACGUUUACUAUUGAAAAGACCUUAGGGCCAGAUGGCCUUAGAGUUGAGUUUGUUUUUCCUUUUUUAACUGAUAUAUAAUAGUUGUACAUUUUUUGGUUUUAAAAUUGAUAUAUAAUAGUUGUACAUAUGUAGCUGAGUUUCAGCUAAGCUCUAAAGUUCUGAUAAUUUACCUCUAAAGGUCUGAUAAUUCCAAUGUUAAGUGAUUUUUUUUUAAGAGACAGGGUCUGGCUAUGUUGCCUAGGCUGGAGUGCGGUGGCUAUUCACAGGCAUGAUCACUGCACGCUACAGUCUCAAACUCUGACCUCAACUGUUCUUCCUGUCUCAGCCUUCCAAGUAGCUGGGACUAAAGGCAUGAGCCACUGCACCCGGCCCAAUGUUAAAUUAUUUAAACCCUUGCUACUCAAAGUGUGUCCGAGGACUGUAGUAUUAAUACCACCUAGAUGCUGAUUAGGAAUGCAGGUUUAGCUACUCCAAGCCAUAUAAAAAUCUUUUAAAUUCACAUUUUGAAGCCAAUACAAUUUUAAUAUCAAAACAUAAGAAAGAAAAAAGGAUAGAGUAAUAUUUGUUAAUUACAAUUAUAAUUAUAGACUAAUUUCACUUAUGAUUUAGAAAUACAAAUUAUAAAUAAAAUAUUAGCUUAUAUAGGUCUUCAUUAUAUCAAGAGUAAAAUACAAUGAACAGCAAGGUUUAUUCCACAACUGCAAGAGUGGUUCAAUAUCCAAAUCCCAGUAACCUAAUCCAUUACACUGAUAAACUACAGAAGAAAAACAUCAGCAGCUGUUCAAAUGAUAAUUGAUAAAAUUCAGCAGCCAUUCCUAAUAAAAAUUCUAAGUAGGCAUGAAAAAAUUUAAACUGACAAAAACUACCAGAAACCAAUAGCAAAUAUUAUCUUAUAUAGAGACACUACUGAAAGCAUUUUAGUCAAGAAACAGAUAGAUACCUGCACCAUCAUUAUUAUUUAAUAUUAUUUUAGAUAUUUUAGCAAAUGCAAGAAGAAAAAAAGUUAACUAGUAAGUAUAAAUAUCAGAAAAGAAAAAAUAAAAACAUGUCUUUUGAUAUGGUUGCAUAUUUAGAAAACUCAAGAUAAUUAAGAAGGCAAAACAGGCUGGGCGUGAUGGCUCAUGCCUGUAAUCCCAGAACUUUGGGAGGCCAAGGCAGGAGGAUCUCUUGAGGCCAGAAGUUUGAGACAAACCUGGUCAAUAUAGUGAAACUCGUCUCUACCAAAAAUAUAAAAAAUUAGCUGAGCGUGAUGGCACACACCUGUAGUCCCAGCUACUCAGGAGGCUGAAGCAUGAGAAUCACUUGAACCCGGGAGGCAGAGGUUGCAGUGAGCCGAGAUUGCGCCACUGUACUCCAGCCUAGGUGACAAAAAAAAAAAAAAGAAAAAGAAAAAAGCUAUUGUUUUUUGUGUAUCUAUGUAGCAUCCUAUAUCUUAUCACACUCUCUUAAUAUGUCUUGUAAUUGUUUUGCCUUCUUUUUUAUUUUUUUGAGACAGAGUCUCGCUCUGUCCCCAGGCUGGAGUACAGUGGCAUGGGUACCAGUGGCUACUCGAGUAGCUGGGAUUACACGUGCGUGCCACCAUGCCCAGCUAAUUUUUGUAUUUUUAGUAGAGACAGGGUUUCACCAUGUUGGCCAGGCUGGUCUCUAACUCCUGAUUGCAAGUGACCCUCCCGCCUUGGCCCCCCAAAGUGCUAGGAUUAUAGGUGUGAGCCACUGCUCCCAGCCCACAAUAGCUUUUUUUCUACCUUAAUAGGAACCAACUAAAAAUAAGAAUGGGAACAUAUUUAUGCAUAUAUAAUGUUGACAUAAACUAUACAUUCUUUAGGAAUAGUUCUAACAAGUAAGUAACAGAAAAUAUAGGGGAAAAACUCUUAGUUAAGAAAACUAUGAGAAAGAAAAACAAUAAGGGAGAUUUGCCCUACCAGAUAAUCGGAAACUAAAGCCACAAUAAUCAAACCUCUACAAGUAUGGAUAUAGAGUUAGAUUCUGAGGAGAUGUUCACGUAGACAAAUGUGGUAAUUUAAUUCAGGAGGAAAGAAAUGGGCCAUUUAAUUAACAACUGACUACUUUCUGGAAGAAAAUUUAAAAAGACUCUGUCUUAUACUACAUAUGAAAAUACACUGCAGAUGAAUAAAAGGCUUAGAUAUAAAUUUUAAAACUCUAGGCAAGAAAUCUAGGUAACUACAUGAUCAAUAGAAACCUACAAGCGAUAAAGUAAAGGUAGCCAUGUUUGAUUAUAUAAAAAAUUUUUUAAAUUUAAGACAAAACCAAUCAUAAACAAAGUCAAUAACAGUAGAUUUGAAAAUAAUAAUAAAGCAUAUGAUAGAAAAGGGGUUGAUUUUUAAAAAACAGAUGAAGAGCUCUUACAAAUUGACAAGAAAAAUGACCAAAAACCCAACAGAAAAUGUGCAACCAAUAUGAAUUGCAAGGGGAUAGAGAAAAAUAAAUCCAAAGACCCACAAACAUAUGAAAAGACACUUAAAUUCACUAGAGUUAGGGAAAUACAGGCUACAGUAACAGUAAGAUAUUACAGGUUAAGCAUUUCUAAUCUGAAAAUCUGAAAUGCUCCAAAAUCAGAAACUUUGAGUGUGGACAUGACACUCUAAAUGGGAAAUUCCACACUGACCUCAUGUGACAGAUCUCAGUCAAAACGCAGAUGUCAACUGCACGGUUUAUUUAGCAUCUGCAAGGUAAUCAAGACCCUCCCGGCCCCCAUCAGCUAUGAUGUAUCUUUUCUGUGCAUGGCCAGAUUCCCUCACGCAAGCAAACCCACAAAAGGUCUUAGAAUGGUAGGUAUGAAGACCAGAUAUGCCAAUGGCAGGUUUGUCAUGAUACCCCACAUGGGGCCAAUACCUAUAUGCAUUACUCACUGUAGUUUUUUCUGCUUAUUCUCUCUCUUGUGGCAUAAAGAUAUUGUUGAAAAUGUCUAGAAGGCCCACAUGAUGCCCAGAGGGUAAUGCAAAUAUUCCAAAACAAAAUCUGAAACACUUUUGGCUCCAAGCAUUUUGGGUAAGGGACCUCAACCUGUACUUGGUAUCCAUCUGAUUGGCAAAAGUUAAAAGGAAUCAUACUGUUACCUGCUAGUGGGAUAUGAGAAAAAUGUCAUCAUACCUAUUGGUGGAAACAUAAAGUGUUAUGGCUUGUUUUGGAAGGCAAUGUGGAUUAAUAAAUGAGUUAAUAUUUGAGAAAUGCUGAAAACACUGUCUGUCAUAUAAUAAAUGCUAUGUACAUUCUUGUUAAGUAAACAAAAGUUCUCUGAAAAAUAAAA